GUCAGUGAUCAGAGAACCUCUGUUCUACCCUCCUGCCAAUCUGUCCUCCUGGGUGAUUGCUCAGGUUGUGUUAAGAAUUCGCUUGAUGUGAGUGCAGGAAUUUCGCCACUCUCCCAGUUCCCAGACGCUACAACUUGUCGGUUCGACCCAUCGUGUGCGCCCGGGGGAUGUAUUCUCCAAGAGUCCUAAGGUUGCGUUUUGAUCUACUCGUGACUGUUUGGAGAAGUGAGAAGGUCCCAUGUUGUGCCAGUGGGGGCUGCAACAUAACUGGGCCAAGAUCUGCAGAUCAGAGGAGCAGCCAUCUUUGAGUGACCUUGAAGGAAGUUGCCUUGAGACCAAGUUUGGAUGACAUAGUGGCCUUUGGCAGAAGGGAAGCCUGAGUUGGCCAGUGGUGACUCUGCUUCUGUGGUGUGGAAGAAAAGAUAUCAUCACAGACCCACAUCAUCAAGGUUGGUGAAUCCAUUCAUCUGAGGCUAUAGAGUGAGAGGUAGAGCGAAGAGGAAGAGGAUGCUCUCCUUUUAGAAUUUAAAAUAGAAAUAUUCUAACAAAGUAUUCCAAAUUAUCAUUACAUUCAUACGUUUCUCCUGCUUCUAGUCAAUGGGGCAUCAUUUCACAGAGUAGCAGAGUAUAUGAAAAAAAACAAACAAACAUUAAAAAAAAAAAAAAAAAAACCACUGAAAACAGGAAACCUUGUGCUCUGAUCCCAAGUAGUAAGGCCAUUAAUUGUGAAUAUUCUCGCUAAAGUCAGUUUUCUCUGAAGGGAAAGAGAAGCUAUAAGAUCAAAAGAUUGUCCUGCUCUAAAACUCUAUAAACUGAAUUGGCUUUCUUAUUCAAUCCAAACUCUUCAGCCCAGUGAGAACACCUUACCCACCCAUCUCCAUCUCACUUCAAUUCUUAUCAUUUCCCAACCAAAUCCUUUUCCAGAUAAGCUAGUCAACUUGCCAGUCCCUGUGACUGGCUUCUGCAGUCCAACAUUCGUAAUUGGUGUAGGUGAUAUGCUUAUUUUCACUACUUUCUACUCCUAAACAAUGUUAUUUAAUUUCCCCAAACUCCUGUUCACAAAUAAUCUACUUAUGAAGACCUAGUGGUGAAUUUUUUCCAUCUCUGAUCAAUUUGUUCAAACAUAUGUCAUGUGUUUGGGGAGUAUAGCAAUGUUAAAUUAAAAGAAAACUAGUAUUUUCUUAAGCUCUUGGCAUGCCCUUAAAAUACUUUCAUCUGUAUUAAGUCUCCUAAUUAAACUGUAAGCACAAAGUUCUUAUAUUCCAUAAUAGAAUAUAUGGAAUUUUCCAACUUCUUCCAGUAAAUAAACAAUGUUUUAGAAACAAUAAAAAUAAAAUUCCUAACCAUGGAGCCAUUCACUGGUACAGGACUGAAACAUUCUUGGCCCAGAGUAGGCAUUCAAUAAAUAUUUUUAUGUAAAUAUAUAAGUAAGUCAAUCGACCCUUUUCUAUUCAACCAUAAUUUUAUACACACACACACACACACACACACACA